CCGUCCAUGAGGAGUUCUGGACCUGGCAUACAGUGUAGUAUUCUGUGUGCGUCCGUCUACAGCUACAUUGUCUGCUGGGUUUCAGGCCUCCACUCAAGUCUCG